rnacentral:rRNA from 1 species
UGAGUAACGCGUGAGUAACCUGCCUUCAAGAGGGGGAUAACAUUCUGAAAAGAAUGCUAAUACCGCAUGACAUAUCGGAACCACAUGGUUUUGAUAUCAAAGAUUUUAUCGCUGAAGAUGGACUCGCGUCCGAUUAGUUAGUUGGUGAGGUAACGGCUCACCAAGACCGCGAUCGGUAGCCGGACUGAGAGGUUGAACGGCCACAUUGGGACUGAGACACGGCCCAGACUCCUACGGGAGGCAGCAUG